CGCCGUCACCGGUCAGCUGGAAUCAGGACAAGGAAAGCGCUUACGGUGCACCUGUUCACCACAUAAAAUACUUCUUGCGCUUUCUCCCUCCCUUCCCCCUGUUCUCUCCGUCGCAGCGAUGCACGCAAACGUAUCGCCUGGCCGCUCCUUCCGUGUUGACCCGUUCACCUUCCUCGUGCCAGGCGGCCCCGGCCAUCAUGGUAGCAAUGGAUCCUCGCCGGCUGAACCGAUGACCCUGCGCCGGAUAGCGCACGAGGUGGUCGGCAUUCCUAUAGAAGAACUGCGCGCCGUAAAUGAGGACCCGCUGGCGAGCAUGCCCGCCGAUGCGGUUCUCGAGCCCGGCACGAAGGUGAGGUUGCCUGUGGUCUUGGACUAUCAGGGCAGUCCCUACGGAAUGACGCUGCACUUGGGUAGUGCCGAGGCGCAGCUGCAGGACUGUGAGGCGCUCCUCGACUCUCUCGUGAGCUCGUGGGAGGGCGAAUAUGGCUCUCACAGUUUGGAGUGCCUUCCUCCACGUAAGGUGUGCUCGCAGACGGAGGCGGUGUUGGCCAAGGUGCACGAGGAGGCGAUUCGGCAACUGCCCAAGGUCGACGCGGGUCUUCAGCGGUUGGGGAGCAGAGAGUCAAAGCUGCCGCUUCUGGUGGAAGUCGGGGCGAUCAAGGCAGCCGAGCGCGCCAUUGAGGAGUCGUUCCAGCGAGCCGUCGCGGGGCUCGAGAGUUUCAAGAAGGAAAAUGAAGCUUGUGGAAGAGUCGCCCCGGCAUCGUUGAGCUCUAACGACCUCACCCCGGCUUCCCUUCACACGAAGCGCGACGAGGGCGAAGACUACUGCGUCCUGCACACGCAUCGGUGGGAGUUCGCGGUUCAUGGAGUGCGCUCGAAGGAACCGCGCGAGGUUUGGGCGGUGCUCUCCUGCCAGCCGCUCGUGGCGCUGCUGGACGCGAUCGACUGCCCGGCAACACGAGACCCGCUCACCACCUCCCGAAAUGCCUUCUUCUUCAUCCACGGCGUCUUCUACAUCGACGACCGGCAUCGAGCACAAGCGGACUUUGUCGACCUCAGCGAGGUUAUCCGGGGGAACGAUCCUUUGCAGGACGCGUCGAGCUUUCACGCUCCCGAGCACCAGGGCUUUUCUCGGUGCCCCGUGAAGAGCGCAGCAGAGACCGCGUUCAAGGACCUCAACAUCAAGAUGGGUGAGUCGUGCCUGCUGCGGCACUGCGGCGGAUGCGACCACUACUUCUUCCUGUCGCAUGCCCGAAGCCUAAGCGGCUACCCGCGCAAGGAGCGACAUGAGUUCCCGCACCGUGUGGCCAAAGUACGAGACCAGGCAAGGCGGUGUCUGCUCUGUCGAUUGUUUCCGGCCACGAUCGCGCUCUACGAGGACCCACUUUCACCUGAGAGUCCGGCCUUUUACUGCGCGGUGUGCUUUGAUCUUCUACACAGCGGCGACACCCCCGAGGAGGCGGCGCAGUACCAGCGGCGCGAAGCGAAGGACUUUGGUGAGGUUUACUUCAAGGCGACGUAGCCUUCCACCCAGCGCACACGCGCCCCCUUACUUUGGCACCGUUUAGCGUCUUUCUCGUCCACAGCGACGGCUGCGUGUCGGCAACGAGUGUCUUGAAUCGUUCCAAACUUACAC
rnacentral:misc_RNA from 1 species